rnacentral:rRNA from 1 species
UACCAGCACCCCGAGUGGUCGGGACGUUUAUUGGGCCUAAAGCAUCCGUAGCCGGUUCUACAAGUCUUCCGUUAAAUCCAACUGCUUAACAGGUGGGCUGCGGAAGAUACUAUAGAGCUAGGAGGCGGGAGAGGCAAGCGGUACUCGAAUGGGUAGGGGUAAAAUCCGUUGAUCCAUUGAAGACCACCAGUGGCGAAGGCGGCUUGCCAGAACGCGCUCGACGGUGAGGGAUGAAAGCUGGGGGAGCAAACCGG